UACAGAGGGUGCGAGCGUUGUCCGGAAUCACUGGGCGUAAAGGGCGUGUAGGCGGCUGGAUAAGCCGCGUGUGAAAUCCCGGGGCUCAACCUCGGAACUGCCUUUGAUACUGCGAAUCUUGAGUCCGAUAGAGGUGGGUGGAAUUCCUAGUGUAGAGGUGAAAUUCGUAGAUAUUAGGAAGAACACCAGUGGCGAAGGCGGCCCACUGGAUCGGUACUGACGCUGAGGUGCGAAAGCGUGGGGAGCAAACAGG
rnacentral:rRNA from 1 species